GAUGAACGCUGGCGGCGUGCCUAAUACAUGCAAGUCGAGCGAACGGACGAGAAGCUUGCUUCUCUGAUGUUAGCGGCGGACGGGUGAGUAACACGUGGAUAACCUACCUAUAAGACUGGGAUAACUUCGGGAAACCGUAGCUAAUACCGGAUAAUAUUUUGAACCGCAUGGUUCAAAAGUGAAAGACGUUCUUGCUGUCACUUAUAGAUGGAUCCGCGCUGCAUUAGCUAGUUGGUAAGGUAACGGCUUACCAAGGCAACGAUGCAUAGCCGACCUGAGAGGGUGAUCGGCCACACUGGAACUGAGACACGGUCAAGACUCCUACGGGAGGCAGCAGUAGGGAAUCUUCCGCAAUGGGCGAAAGCCUGACGGAGCAACGCCGCGUGAGUGAUGAAGGUCUUCGGAUCGUAAAACUCUGUUAUUAGGGAAGAACAUAUGUGUAAGUAACUGUGCACAUCUUGACGGUACCUAAUCAGAAAGCCACGGCUAACUACGUG
rnacentral:rRNA from 1 species